AGAGUAUAGCUCAGUGGUAGAGUGUGUGCUUCACAUGCACGAGGUCCUGGGUUCAGUGCCCAGUACCUCCA
rnacentral:tRNA from 1 species